GACGAGCCACCCAAACGUUAUUCGGAAUUACUGGGCUUAAAGGGUGCGUAGGCGGUGCAGCAAGUCGGGAGUGAAAUACCUCAGCUUAACUGAGGAACUGCUUCGAUACUGCUGUGCUUGAGUGAGACAGAGGUAAGCGGAACUUAGGGUGGAGCGGUGAAAUGACGUUGAUAUCCUAAGGAACACCGGUGGCGAAGGCGGGCUUACUGGGUCUCUACUAGACGCUGAGGCACGGAAAG
rnacentral:rRNA from 1 species